GGCGGAGGGAAGCUCAUCGGUGGGGCUACGAGCGGAGUGCUUUGCGUCACUCUAUCACAUGUCCCCUGGGAAGGUCUGAGACUAGGGCCAUUUAAGCGGCCCUAACAGGGUCCUCCCUGAGUCUCGGGGAGGUGAGUUCCCAGAGAACGGGUCUCCGCGCGAGGGCAGACUGGGCAGGAGAUGCUACGGGCCCCGCCUUCCGGGAGGGGCCUGGCGGAUGCCUCCUUAGCCGGAGCUUGGAAAAGACUCACGGCCAGCGAAGUGAGUUCAAUGGCUGAGGUGAGGUACCCUACCGGGGCCUCAUAACCCAAUUCAGACUACUCUCCCCCGCC
rnacentral:RNase_P_RNA from 1 species